rnacentral:rRNA from 1 species
UUGACGGGGAGCACCACAACAGGUGGAGCCUGCGGUUUAAUCGGACUCAACGCCGGGAAACUCACCAGAUAAGACAGCUGAAUGAUAGUCGGGCUGAAGACUCUACUUGACUAGCUGAGAGGUGGUGCAUGGCCGUCGUCAGUUCGUACUGUGAAGCAUCCUGUUAAGUCAGGCAACGAGCGAGACCCACGCCCACAGUUGCCAGCGUACUCUCUGGAGUGACGGGUACACUGUGGGGACCGCCGCUGCUAAAGCGGAGGAAGGAAUGGGCAACGGUAGGUCAGUAUGCCCCGAAUAUCCCGGGCUACACGCGAGCUACAAUGGUUGGUACAAUGGGUAUCUACCCCGAAAGGGGACGGGAAUCUCCUAAAACCAAUCUUAGUUCGGAUUGAGGGCUGCAACUCGCCCUCAUGAAGCUGGAAUCCGUAGUAAUCGCGUUUCAACAGAACGCGGUGAAUACGUCCCUGCUCCUU